GCGCAGCAGGCGAGAAUACUUCACAAUGUGCGAAAGCACGAUGAGGGAAUCCCAAGUGCUUGCACGUAAGUGUAAGCUGUUUCUCUGUCUAAAACGCAGAGAGAGUAAGGGCUGGGUAAGACGGGUGCCAGCCGCCGCGGUAAUACCUGCAGCUCGAGUGGUGACCGUUAUUAUUGGGCCUAAAACGUCCGUAGCCGGUUUAAUAAAUGCCUGGGUAAAUCGGACCGCUUAACGGUUCGAAUUCCGGGUAGACUGUUAAACUUGAGACCGGGAGAAGUUAGAGGUGCU
rnacentral:rRNA from 1 species